rnacentral:lncRNA from 1 species
GGAAAAGAAAAGAUAUAGAAAGCAAUGCUCACUAAAUGAAAGCUAACUGAAGAGAAAAUAAACUUUACAGCAAAGCUUUAACAGUAAAAAGGGUUGCUAUAAAAUUACGUAAGUCUCAAUUUGUUAAAAUAUCGAAAAUUAUCACACAUUAUAAGAGUGCUAAAAUGUAUAAGAAAAAAUUUGACACAUAUUUGAGGGGGAAUUAAUGAACCAACCUACAUAGAGAAAAAUUUCAAGACUACUCUCUCCCUAACUGAUAGAUCCAACAGGCAAAAUAAAUAAGCAAGUAGAAUUUUGAACAACACAUUUGACAAGCUUAACCUAGUGGACAAAUUUAAAAUAUGGCACUUGGCACUUGGUAUAUAUAGUUAAGCCUGCCUGGAAUCAUUAAGGAAAUUGCCAAUAUGUUACUCCAUAAAGCAAGUUGGAAGUAAAUUUCAAAGAUUUGAGUCUUGUGCAGAUCACAUUAUCUGAGUUCAGUACAAUUAAAUUAGAAAUAAAUAACGAAAAGGUAAUUAGAUAAAAUAUACUUGAAAAUAUAAAACCACAUUUAUGAAAGCAAAACUAGUAAAUUUGAUUUUAUUAAAAUACUUCUGUUUACCAACAAAUACCAUUAAAAGACUAAAAAUAGAGUGGACUGGGGCUGUGGCUCAGUGGUAGUGCACUUGCCUGGCAUGUGGGAGGAACAGAGUGCCAAUCUCAGCAACAAAUACAAACAAACAAAACAA